CUGCCCGGUGACUUAGUUGUUAAACGGCCGCGGUACCCUAACCGUGCAAAGGUAGCAUAAUCAUUUGCCUUUUAAUUGGAGGCUGGUAUGAAUGGUUUGACGAGAGCUAUGCUGUCUCUUUUGGAAUAUUUAAAAAUUAAUUUUUAGGUGAAGAAGCCUAAAUUUAUUUAAGGGACAAGAAGACCCUGUUGAGCUUUAGUGAAAUUAUAAAUGUAUAUAUAAUGUGUUUUGUGCGUUAAUUUGUUAUGUAUUUAUUAUAAUAAUAGGUUUAUAAUUAAUCUUUAGUUGGGGCGACUGAGGAACAA
rnacentral:rRNA from 1 species